CGCGAAGAGCCAGAUUUUGCUGGGCCUGC
rnacentral:sRNA from 1 species